UACGUAGGGUGCGAGCGUUAAUCGGAAUUACUGGGCGUAAAGCGUGCGCAGGCGGUGGCUCAAGCCAGGCGUGAAAUCCCCGGGCUUAACCUGGGAAUGGCGUUUGGGACUGGGAGUCUGGAGUGCGGCAGAGGAGACUGGAAUUCCUGGUGUAGCAGUGAAAUGCGUAGAUAUCAGGAGGAACACCGAUGGCGAAGGCAGGUCUCUGGGCUGACACUGACGCUCAUGCACGAAAGCGUGGGGAGCAAACAGG
rnacentral:rRNA from 1 species